GACGAACGCUGGCGGCGUGCUUAACACACGCAACUCGAACGGAAAGGCCCUGCCUUUUUGGGGUGCUCGAGUGGCCACCGCGUGAGUAACACGUGAGUAACCUGCCCUUGACUUUGGGAUAACUUCAGGAAACUGGGGCUAAUACCGGAUAGGAGCCCCUGCUGCCUGGUGGGGGUUGGAAAGUUUCGGCGGUUGGGGAUGGACUUGCGGCUUAUCAGCUGGUUGGUGGGGUAGUGGCUUACCAAGGCUUUGACGGGUAGCCGGCCUGAGAGGGUGACCGGCGACAUUGGGGCUGAGAUACGGCCCAGACUCCUACGGGAGGCAGAGGUGGGGAAUGGUGCGCGAUGGGCGGAAGCCUGAUGCAGCCACGCCGCGUGCGGGAUGACGGCCUUCGGGUUGUAAACCGCUUUCGCCUGGGACGAAGCGUGAGUGGCGGUAAUGGGUAAAGAAGCACCGGCUAACUACGUG
rnacentral:rRNA from 1 species